GAUGAAGAACGUAGCGAAAUGCGAUAAGUAAUGUGAAUUGCAGAAUUCAGUGAAUCAUCGAAUCUUUGAACGCAUCUUGCGCUCCUUGGUAUUCCGAGGAGCAUGCCUGUUUGAGGGUCGCCAGAUCAACAUCGAAAUUCAUUUGCUUUUGUAAAUGUUUUAUCGGAUUUGGGCCGUCUUUUAUUUUUUUUAAUUAAAGUGGCUUAAAAUGUAUUUUUUGGUAUCGAAAAACGUUAUUUUACGAUCAAAUUGAUUAAAAAAACAAACGUUUCGAAUGCCAUCUUUUAAUGUAAUACGUUUGACUGUGUUUGUUCAUCAUAGUUUCAUUCGUAUACGAUUUUUUAAUUUUUGACCUCAAAUCAGGUAAGAACACCCGCUGAACUUAAGCAUAUCAAUAAGCGGAGGA
rnacentral:misc_RNA from 1 species